AUUGAACGCUGGCGGCAUGCUUUACACAUGCAAGUCGAACGGCAGCGCGGGCUUCGGCCUGGCGGCGAGUGGCGAACGGGUGAGUAAUGCAUCGGAACGUGCCCAGUAGUGGGGGAUAGCCCGGCGAAAGCCGGAUUAAUACCGCAUACGACCUGAGGGUGAAAGCGGGGGACCGAAAGGCCUCGCGCUAUUGGAGCGGCCGAUGUCGGGUUAGCUAGUUGGUGGGGUAAAGGCUUACCAAGGCGACGAUCCGUAGCUGGUCUGAGAGGACGACCAGCCACCCUGGGACUGAGACACGGCCCAGACUCCUACGGGAGGCAGCAGUGGGGAAUUUUGGACAAUGGGGGCAACCCUGAUCCAGCCAUGCCGCGUGCGGGAAGAAGGCCUUCGGGUUGUAAACCGCUUUUGUUCGGGAAGAAAUCCUCUGGGCUAAUACCCCGGGGGGAUGACGGUACCGGAAGAAUAAGCACCGGCUAACUACGUG
rnacentral:rRNA from 1 species